rnacentral:rRNA from 1 species
GACAGAGGGUGCAAACGUUGUUCGGAAUUACUGGGCGUAAAGCGCGUGUAGGCGGCUAAGUAAGUCGGGCGUGAAAUCCCACGGCUCAACCGUGGAAGUGCACUCGAAACUGCAUAGCUAGAGUCCUGGAGAGGAAGGUGGAAUGCUUGGUGUAGAGGUGAAAUUCGUAGAUAUCAAGCGGAACACCGGUGGCGAAGGCGGCCUUCUGGACAGUGACUGGACGCUGAGACGCGAAAGCGUGGGGAGCAAACAGG